rnacentral:rRNA from 1 species
GACGAACGCUGGCGGCGUGCUUAACACAUGCAAGUCGAGCGGAAAGGCCCUUCGGGGUACUCGAGCGGCGAACGGGUGAGUAACACGUGAGUAAUCUGCCCCUGGCUUUGGGAUAGCCACCGGAAACGGUGAUUAAUACCGGAUAUGACCACUUGACGCAUGUUGGGUGGUGGAAAGUUUUUCGGCCAGGGAUGUGCUCGCGGCCUAUCAGCUUGAUGGUGAGGUAAUGGCUCACCAUGGCUUCGACGGGUAGCCGGCCUGAGAGGGUGACCGGUCACACUGGGACUGAGACACGGCCCAGACUCCUACGGGAGGCAGCAGUGGGGAAUAUUGGACAAUGGGCGGAAGCCUGAUCCAGCAACGCCGCGUGAGGGAUGACGGCCUUCGGGUUGUAAACCUCUUUCAGUACCGACGAAGCGCAAGUGACGGUAGGUACAGAAGAAGCACCGGCCAACUACGUGCCAGCAGCCGCGGUAAAAC